rnacentral:rRNA from 1 species
AGCGGCGGACGGGUGAGUAAUGCCUAGGAAUCUGCCUGGUAGUGGGGGAUAACGUUCGGAAACGGGCGCUAAUACCGCAUACGUCCUACGGGAGAAAGUGGGGGAUCUUCGGACCUCACGCUAUCAGAUGAGCCUAGGUCGGAUUAGCUAGUUGGUGGGGUAAUGGCUCACCAAGGCGACGAUCCGUAACUGGUCUGAGAGGAUGAUCAGUCACACUGGAACUGAGACACGGUCCAGACUCCUACGGGAGGCAGCAGUGGGGAAUAUUGGACAAUGGGCGAAAGCCUGAUCCAGCCAUGCCGCGUGUGUGAAGAAGGUCUUCGGAUUGUAAAGCACUUUAAGUUGGGAGGAAGGGCAGUAAGUUAAUACCUUGCUGUUUUGACGUUACCAACAGAAUAAGCACCGGCUAACUUCGUGCCAGCAGCCGCGGUAAUACGAAGGGUGCAAGCGUUAAUCGGAAUUACUGGGCGUAAAGCGCGCGUAGGUGGUUCAGCAAGUUGGAGGUGAAAUCCCCGGGCUCAACCUGGGAACUGCCUCCAAAACUACUGAGCUAGAGUACGGUAGAGGGUAGUGGAAUUUCCUGUGUAGCGGUGAAAUGCGUAGAUAUAGGAAGGAACACCAGUGGCGAAGGCGACUACCUGGACUGAUACUGACACUGAGGUGCGAAAGCGUGGGGAGCAAACAGGAUUAGAUACCCUGGUAGUCCACGCCGUAAAACGAUGUCGACUAGCCGUUGGGAUCCUUGAGAUCUUAGUGGCGCAGCUAACGCGAUAAGUCGACCGCCUGGGGAGUACGGCCGCAAGGUUAAAACUCAAAUGAAUUGACGGGGGCCCGCACAAGCGGUG